AUGAUCCCCGUCACGAGGAGAAACCGUGGGGCUGGGCACGGCAGGGUGGGGCUGCGCCCAGGGCUGCGGGCGGACGCGCAGCUGAGCGAGGCCGGAGGGGGCCUCCAGCCGCCCGGCGGGAGCCUCCGCCUCUCCUGCAAGGGAACCGGGUUCGACUUCAGCAGCUCCUACAUGUUCUGGGUCCGGCAGGCGCCCGGCAAGGGGCUUGAGUUCGUCGCGGGUAUUUGGAGCGAGGGCAGCAGUCGAUUCGUGGAUGCAGUGCAAGGACACAUCUCCAGGGAUGAUGGGCAGAGCACGCUCUACCUGCAGAUGAACAGCCUCAAGGUCGAGGACACCGGCACCUACUACUGCGCGAAAACUGCUGAUACUUAUGGUGCUGAUGCUGAUGAUAUCGGGUUACAGCCCCAACCUGGGCAGGAUGCGCCCAUGAGUGCAGAUGGCCGUGAGCUGUCCAAGGUGACUGGGAGCGACCUAGCAAUGAUACGAGUCAGCUGGCUCAGCACUCAUCGAUGUUGA